CUGUUCCAUAACAAGAGAAGAUACAGAGAUACAGAGAACAUACAGAAAAGAUUAGCAUGGCCCCUGUGCAAGGAUGACACGCAAAUUUGUGAAGCGUUCCAUAUUUUU